CCUACGGGCGGCAGCAGUGAGGAAUAUUGGUCAAUGGACGAGAGUCUGAACCAGCCAAGUAGCGUGAAGGAUGACUGCCCUAUGGGUUGUAAACUUCUUUUAUAAAGGAAUAAAACGAGGCACUUGUGCCUUUUUGCAUGUACUUUAUGAAUAAGGAUCGUCUAACUCCGUGCCAGCGGCCGCGGUAAUACGGAGGAUCCGAGCGUUAUCCGGAUUUAUUGGGUUAAAAGGGUGCGCCGGCGGCUUGUUAAGUCAACGGUAAAAGCCCGGGGCUAAACCCCGGCGAGCCGUUGAAACUGGCGAGCUGGAGUUGGAGAGAAGUACGCGGAAUGCGCGGUGUAGCGGUGAAAUGCUUAGAUUUCGCGCAGAACCCCGAUUGCGAAGGCAGCGUACCGGCUCCACACUGACGCUGAGGCACGACAGCGUGGGUAUCGAACAGGAUUAGAUACCCUAGUAGUC
rnacentral:rRNA from 1 species